UUGUCUGUAGUUCAGUUGGUAGAACAUCUGGCUGUUAACCAGAAUGUCGCAUGUUCGAGUCAUGCCAGGCAAGCCA
rnacentral:tRNA from 1 species